rnacentral:rRNA from 1 species
UUAAGCGACUAAGCGUACACGGUGGAUGCCCUGGCAGUCAGAGGCGAUGAAGGACGUGCUAAUCUGCGAUAAGCGUCGGUGAGGUGAUAUGAACCGUUAUAACCGGCGAUUUCCGAAUGGGGAAACCCAGUGUGUUUCGACACACUAUCAUUAACUGAAUCCAUAGGUUAAUGAGGCGAACCGGGGGAACUGAAACAUCUAAGUACCCCGAGGAAAAGAAAUCAACCGAGAUUCCCCCAGUAGCGGCGAGCGAACGGGGAGGAGCCCAGAGCCUGAAUCAGUGUGUGUGUUAGUGGAAGCGUCUGGAAAGGCGUGCGAUACAGGGUGACAGCCCCGUACACAAAAAUGCACAUAUUGUGAGCUCGAUGAGUAGGGCGGGACACGUGGUAUCCUGUCUGAAUAUGGGGGGACCAUCCUCCAAGGCUAAAUACUCCUGACUGACCGAUAGUGAACCAGUACCGUGAGGGAAAGGCGAAAAGAACCCCGGCGAGGGGAGUGAAAAAGAACCUGAAACCGUGUACGUACAAGCAGUGGGAGCCUCUUAAUGGGGUGACUGCGUACCUUUUGUAUAAUGGGUCAGCGACUUAUAUUCUGUAGCAAGGUUAACCGAAUAGGGGAGCCGAAGGGAAACCGAGUCUUAACUGGGCGUUAAGUUGCAGGGUAUAGACCCGAAACCCGGUGAUCUAGCCAUGGGCAGGUUGAAGGUUGGGUAACACUAACUGGAGGACCGAACCGACUAAUGUUGAAAAAUUAGCGGAUGACUUGUGGCUGGGGGUGAAAGGCCAAUCAAACCGGGAGAUAGCUGGUUCUCCCCGAAAGCUAUUUAGGUAGCGCCUCGUGAAUUCAUCUCCGGGGGUAGAGCACUGUUUCGGCAAGGGGGUCAUCCCGACUUACCAACCCGAUGCAAACUGCGAAUACCGGAGAAUGUUAUCACGGGAGACACACGGCGGGUGCUAACGUCCGUCGUGAAGAGGGAAACAACCCAGACCGCCAGCUAAGGUCCCAAAGUCAUGGUUAAGUGGGAAACGAUGUGGGAAGGCCCAGACAGCCAGGAUGUUGGCUUAGAAGCAGCCAUCAUUUAAAGAAAGCGUAAUAGCUCACUGGUCGAGUCGGCCUGCGCGGAAGAUGUAACGGGGCUAAACCAUGCACCGAAGCUGCGGCAGCGACACUAUGUGUUGUUGGGUAGGGGAGCGUUCUGUAAGCCAGUGAAGGUGGCCUGUGAGGGUUGCUGGAGGUAUCAGAAGUGCGAAUGCUGACAUAAGUAACGAUAAAGCGGGUGAAAAGCCCGCUCGCCGGAAGACCAAGGGUUCCUGUCCAACGUUAAUCGGGGCAGGGUGAGUCGACCCCUAAGGCGAGGCCGAAAGGCGUAGUCGAUGGGAAACAGGUUAAUAUUCCUGUACUUGGUGUUACUGCGAAGGGGGGACGGAGAAGGCUAUGUUGGCCGGGCGACGGUUGUCCCGGUUUAAGCGUGUAGGCUGGUUUUCCAGGCAAAUCCGGAAAACCAAGGCUGAGGCGUGAUGACGAGGCACUACGGUGCUGAAGUGACAAAUGCCCUGCUUCCAGGAAAAGCCUCUAAGCAUCAGGUAACAUCAAAUCGUACCCCAAACCGACACAGGUGGUCAGGUAGAGAAUACCAAGGCGCUUGAGAGAACUCGGGUGAAGGAACUAGGCAAAAUGGUGCCGUAACUUCGGGAGAAGGCACGCUGAUAUGUAGGUGAAGCGACUUGCUCGUGGAGCUGAAAUCAGUCGAAGAUACCAGCUGGCUGCAACUGUUUAUUAAAAACACAGCACUGUGCAAACACGAAAGUGGACGUAUACGGUGUGACGCCUGCCCGGUGCCGGAAGGUUAAUUGAUGGGGUUAGCGGUAACGCGAAGCUCUUGAUCGAAGCCCCGGUAAACGGCGGCCGUAACUAUAACGGUCCUAAGGUAGCGAAAUUCCUUGUCGGGUAAGUUCCGACCUGCACGAAUGGCGUAAUGAUGGCCAGGCUGUCUCCACCCGAGACUCAGUGAAAUUGAACUCGCUGUGAAGAUGCAGUGUACCCGCGGCAAGACGGAAAGACCCCGUGAACCUUUACUAUAGCUUGACACUGAACAUUGAGCCUUGAUGUGUAGGAUAGGUGGGAGGCUUUGAAGUGUGGACGCCAGUCUGCAUGGAGCCGACCUUGAAAUACCACCCUUUAAUGUUUGAUGUUCUAACGUUGGCCCGUAAUCCGGGUUGCGGACAGUGUCUGGUGGGUAGUUUGACUGGGGCGGUCUCCUCCUAAAGAGUAACGGAGGAGCACGAAGGUUGGCUAAUCCUGGUCGGACAUCAGGAGGUUAGUGCAAUGGCAUAAGCCAGCUUGACUGCGAGCGUGACGGCGCGAGCAGGUGCGAAAGCAGGUCAUAGUGAUCCGGUGGUUCUGAAUGGAAGGGCCAUCGCUCAACGGAUAAAAGGUACUCCGGGGAUAACAGGCUGAUACCGCCCAAGAGUUCAUAUCGACGGCGGUGUUUGGCACCUCGAUGUCGGCUCAUCACAUCCUGGGGCUGAAGUAGGUCCCAAGGGUAUGGCUGUUCGCCAUUUAAAGUGGUACGCGAGCUGGGUUUAGAACGUCGUGAGACAGUUCGGUCCCUAUCUGCCGUGGGCGCUGGAGAACUGAGGGGGGCUGCUCCUAGUACGAGAGGACCGGAGUGGACGCAUCACUGGUGUUCGGGUUGUCAUGCCAAUGGCACUGCCCGGUAGCUAAAUGCGGAAGAGAUAAGUGCUGAAAGCAUCUAAGCACGAAACUUGCCCCGAGAUGAGUUCUCCCUGACUCCUUGAGGGUCCUGAAGGAACGUUGAAGACGACGACGUUGAUAGGCCGGGUGUGUAAGCGCAGCGAUGCGUUGAGCUAACCGGUACUAAUGAACCGUGAGGCUUAACCUU